UUCACAUCGGUUACAUAAAGAACAGGACUUGUUGCUAACCAGCUAAAAUCAGCUUGGCGUAACCAAGGAACUACUACAACAACAAUAACAACAACAGACGGUGUUGACUACUACAGCCGAUCGGGGACAAAAAGGAUUCGUCCCAAAUGUCUCCCUAUAUAGGUCACUACUUUUGGAGCCCUGUGGGACCGUGGUCAAAAGUAGUGCCCUACAUAUAGGCAAUAGGGUGGCAUUUGGGACCUGUAAUCCCUAACGUUACCCUGACCUCUCCAUGUCUGCCUGUCUGCGUAAUAGAUUUAGCUAGCUGACUACUCACAAAGUUACACACUGCUUUGGCUCUUGACCAGAUGCAAUGGGAGGACAGCGGGGAUCAUGGAAGGACCAGCAAGAGGAGAAGACUAAAGAAAUCAUCCUGAGAGAAACUCAACGUGACCGUUAACAGAAGUCCAUUUAUGUAGCAGAGAACCUUGUUUCUCGCCUCCAAAAUGACGAUCCGUUUCAAUCUGUUCAGUACGCCUACCAGCAGGACUGACACGCUGAGGAAUAACACAGCCCAUGUUCCUGAACACUGAUACUAGGAGUUGGAUUAAAUGUUUUAAUCUGAAAUGAAGGUUCGCAUCUAAAAACUCACAGGUUUGGAUGGAACCAAAGUGAAGAAGGUGACCAAGUUCAAGGUGGAGAGGUAGGUGGCCAUCAAAGCAGAGGGUCGUGGAGGUUAAAGCCAUCAAAGCGGAGGGUCGUGGAGUUGUUGACACUACAGUGGCUGUGUCACUACAGGUCAAAUACCUGUGGCUGGCAAGGGAGCGAAGACGGGAGAGGAACCAAAGAGUAAAAGCAAGAGGUGCCUUUUGAAGUUCAUCCCAGUCGAGGGCCAGAGAAGUAGGUGCCAGCCGAGGGCCAGAGAAGUAGGUGCCAGCCGAGGGCCAGAGAAGUAGGUGCCAGCCGAGGGCCAGAGAAGUAGGUGCCAGCCGAGGGCCAGAGAAGUAGGUGCCAGUCGAGGGCCAGAGAAGUAGGUGCCAGCCGAGGGCCAGAGAAGUAGGUGCCAGUCGAGGGCCAGAGAAGUCGGUGCCAGUCAAGGGCCAGAGAAGUCGGUGCCAGUCGAGGGCCAGAGAAGUAGGUGCCAGUCGAGGGCCAGAGAAGUAGGUGCCAGCCGAGGCCUGGUCCUGCUGGUCCAGCUGGGUCUGCUGACCUAUGACCUGUGUGUCAACUCCUUCAGUGAGCUGCUCAGGGCAGGGCCCGUCAUCCAGCUGGUGCUGUUCAUCAUCCAGGACGUAGGUUCAGCAUCCAGGAUGUAGGUUCAGCAUCCAGGACGUAGGUUCAGCAUCCAGGAAGUAGGUUCAGCAUCCAGGAUGUAGGUUCAGCAUCCAGGACGUAAGUUCAGCAUCCAGGACGUAGGUUCAGCAUCCAGGAUGUAGGUUCAGCAUCCAGGAUGUAGGUUCAGCAUCCAGGAUGUAGAUUUAGCAUCCAGGAUGUAGGUUUAGCAUCCAGGACGUAGGUUCAGCAUCCAGG
rnacentral:lncRNA from 1 species